ensembl:lncRNA
AAAAUAUUCAUGAAAAUAUUCAUGAAAAUAUUCACGAAAAUAUUCAUGAAGAUAUUCAUGGAAAUAUUCAAGAAAUAUUCAAAGGGAGGAUUCAUUACAAAGAUUAUAUGCGAUAAGGGGAGAAGAAAACCUGUGUUUGCCACGUAUCUUGCUUUCCACAAUAUUGCGAGGAAAACAAAAGGAGUGAUCUUCAUAGGGAACCUGUGGGCUAAUGGUUGGUGAAAGAAAAGAUAUUCCAAAAAAUAAUCAAAAAAUAAUCAAAAAAUAAUCAAAAAAUAUUCAUCAAAAUAUUCACGAAAAUAUUCACGAAAAUAUUCACGAAAAUAUUCAUGAAGAUAUUCAUGGAAAUAUUCAAGAAAUAUUCAAAGGGAGGAUUCAUUACAACGAUUAUAUGUUAUAAGGGGGGAAGGAAACCUGUGUUUGCCACGUAUCUUGCUUUCUACAAUAUUGCGAGGAAAACAAAAGGAGUGAUCUUCACAGGGAACCUGUGGGCCGAUUGUUGGUGAAAGAAAAGAUAUUCAAAAAAAUAAUCAAAAAAUAUUCAUCAAAAUAUUCAUCAAAAUAUUCACGAAAAUAUUCACGAAAAUAUUCAUGAAGAUAUUCAUGCAAAUAUUCAAAGGGAGGAUUCAUUACAACGAGUAUAUGUUAUAUUACAUUACAUUACAUUAUAUGUCAUUUAGCUGACGCUUUUAUCCAAAGCGACGUACAAUAAGUGCAUUCAACCAUAUAAGGGGGGAAGGAAACCUGUGUUUGCCACGAAUCUUGCUUUCUACAAUAUUGCGAGGAAAACCAAAGGAGUGAUCUUCAUAGGGAACUAGUGGGCUAAUGGUUGGUGAAAGAAAAGAUAUUCAAAAAAAUAAUCAAAAAAUAUCCAUAAAAAUAUUCAUGAAAAUAUUCAUGAAAAUAUUCACGAAAAUAUUCAUGAAAAUAUUCACAAAAAUAUUCAUGAAAAUAUUCAAGAAAUAUUCAAAGGGAGGAUUCAUUACAAAUAUUAUACGUGAUAUGGGGCGAGAGGGAAGCCUGUGUUUGCCACGUAUCUUGCUUUCUACAAUAUUGCGAGGAAAACAAAAGGAGUGAUCUUCAUAGGGAACCAGUGGGCUAUUGGUUGGUGAAAGAAAAGAUAUUCAAAAAAUAUUUACAAAAAUAUGUUUAUCCUUCGCCAAGAACAACUAAAUUGUUCUAACUGUACUCCACAUGAUCGGAUCCUUUCUAAUUUCCAUACGUUUGAUGAGUCAUCUAAAGUGGAAUCAAAGUCAUAGCGCCACCUAAUGGUAACAGGAAGUAACAUUUUCUAAACAACGAAGGUUGGUACUUUUGUAGUACCAAACAAAGCUUAAAUUGUAACUAAAUGUGGCACACACAUUUGGAGUCAAAGAUGUAGUUGCUUGAUAUCAUUUUAAUGAUUCAAAAUGGUAAUUCGGCUCAAUAGCGCCCUCUACAAAUAUUCAUUUAAGCAGCCCCAGCGCUAUGUUUGACCUACAAGUUUGAAACUCAGUAAGAAUAUAAAUGAAGUAAACUGAAAAACUAGUCUUUUGAGACCAUCCUCGAAACGGUAACAGAAGUAGGCAAUUUAGAUUUUUGUGUGAUGUUUUGUUUGAUAUGCAUAUCCGGACUAUUGAAUACCGGACCUUUCCCCAUAUUUCUCAUGUGUCAUGAAAUCUUUACCCUAUAGACAUCCAUAUGAUCAUUUAGAAUUCUAGUCAUGUUUUCUAUUCUAUUCCCUGCUCCUCGGAAAUUUAUCGGAUCCCUCUCAAAUGUACCUAAGACUUUAAUAAUGUUAAAGAUGACGUUUGCCAAGCAGCAUCCCUGGUGUCCUUUCUUAUUGUUAACGACCAUUGACUCUUGACGGCCGCAGGAGGGCCAGUGCCCCGACAUGCGGGGUAGCGAGGACCCAUCCAUCAUUGCCUGCAGCUUUAAUUUUAUUAAUGUUUUAUUCUUUCCCAAAGGGGUUGAGACAAUUCUCCCACUUCUUUAACCAGAUAAACCAUUAAAGCUCAAAAUAGGUUUCACAAAAGUGGAUUUUUUGGAAAUACUUGGUUUCCACAGGACAACGGCGACAUACAGGUUUAUUAACAAAAAAAGAAAAUGGCACCACGGUUUCAACUUUGAUUAUAUGUCAACAUUCAAUGACUUACUUGAGUUCAGGGAAAAACUGAAGUUGUCUUUGCAGAGCUGUGACUCUGUGAGAUUGACAUUUAUUGACAUUGAGCUCUUAAAAAGGCCACAAAGACGAAGAGAUACUAAUAUUCUUCAUCUAUAAAGAGAAGGUAGUUCAACCUUGUAAACUAACUCACCUCGGCUCUACAUCUUUCUUCUUUUCUCUUCUAUUUCAUUUUACUCAAGUGAAAUAUCUGGAGACCUUCCACAUCUGGUAAUUGGUUUAACCUCAACCUCAAUAUUCUACAUUUGAGUUAUAAACGUACGUAUGUGCAUUACCCAUGCAGAAUCAAUAGAGUGAUAGAACAAAGUAUGAAUAAAUGAGAAUUGUUUGGCGGGGAUACUUCUUGAAUUGUCAUUUGGCCUUCACCUAUUGAUAACGUAAGUAUCCCUGGGCUGAUUUUGUAUGAGAAUUUCUAAAACAUUAAAACCUAAACACCUGAUUAGGUAUAAAUGACCUGCAGUGUCCAUCAGGAUCGGGAGUUCGAGUUGUGAGUUCACCAUGAUUUGGUUAAAGCUGGUUACGCAACACACUCUGGUUCAUUCUACGUUGCCUUCUCUAAGCUUUUCUUAAAGUGCAGUGGCAGGCAACGGGAAAAGAGUUUAAACUUUAAUCUCAGAGUACUUUGUCUGAUUGGUUGGCUCAAAUCAGAGGAGAAUUGGGGGAAGAAUUUGGAAGUUAAAAUUUGUCUUGACUGUAAAUGUUCAACAUUUGAAAACCAUUUGGAGGAACAGUGUAUUUCAAGCAAGGGAAUGUUUGCCAGUGGGAUAAACAUGGUGGUGAAGCCACCAAUAAACACCCUUAAAGUCAAGGUUGCCUAGCAGCGGGCUAAAUGUAGCCGGCCCGGUUCCGUCAUCUCUGCUCUUCUCAGAAAGCCUUCCGUGCUGCUGAGUGCGUCUCCGAUGGGAAGCGCUGCAAUGAAUGGAAUCAGAUGUCGACAGUGAGCCAGUUUCCUUUUUGUUCUGUAGGUGAUAUAACUUAUCAUAAUGACAGAAAGUCAUAUAAAAACCCUAAUUUGACGGUUUUCUCGUUUUUUCUUUAUUAUCUUGUGUGGGGAAGAUGAAAGAAAAGUUUUUUCUAAUUAGCUGGGAUUAGCUGAGCUGCAUGAAACACAUUUUCAGCCCUUUUGAGAAAGACUUUAUCUUUUUUAUUUAAUCCAAAUACUCAACCAGGGAAAUCAGGCUUUACGAUGACAAACCAACACUUUGCAUACAAAUGGAAUUGACAUUUAGCAUUAACAAUUAUAAUGCACGGUGCUGUUUUACAUGCAUUUAUCUUCUCCUCCUACAAAUAGAAGGAAGACUGCGGGAAGUAAGCAGCAUCCUCUCUGUCUUCAUACAUGUUUCAUUUGCUCAACGGUUUUAUUCCGAGCUGUCGCUCUAAAGGAGGUGAGUGUUGUCUGGCAUGAAUAACUUUUGUUCUUGACUGAUUAGCCUGCGACAGCAACAACGCUUCAAAAAUAUGAUGAUUGUGUUUUUGUGCCUUUGUGAUGAGUGUGCUGCACUGGAGAGAACUGCUGCGUUUUGUACCGCACAUCCUCAUCAGCAGCAGCUAAAUCCUUUAAAUAAGUUAGUGUCAGUGUUCAUAUCACCGAGAGGAAACAACGGCUCGGCACACACACACGCACACACACACAGCGGUAAUGCUCACAUAUGUACGAUUAUUUUUAGGCAGCAGCUUAUUUCAACAUUCAGAAAUCGACGGUCAUUUUGUAUAUAUAAUUUCUAUUUAAGUGUAAGAAUACUGCUCUAUGUGUUGUACUUGUUCUGUUUGUCAUUGAGCUUUAAAUAAAAUGAAGAGGAUUUAAAUGUAAUUCCCCACAGGUGGGAAAUCGAUUUAACGAGAGAUUUUAUGUGCUGUCUCUAACAAGGAGACGUCUCGUGUAACCGAUGACACUUUACUGCCGUAUAUGACCAUGCACGACAUUUAAAGUCUAUACUCGUCAGUGUUUACAACAACAAUGUAUCAAAUAAUAACCAGAAGGGGUUGUUUGCAUGAAUCUUUGGAGGAUUAUCAUCUGAAUCUGCAGUGCUUUUGAGCUUCACUGAGCUUCAUUUUGAGUUUAAGCUAAUUGUCCAACUUACCACUUUACCGUUUCCACUUAAAGGAACAAGAGCUAGGCGAGAAAGAAUCAUUGAACAUAAGCACACCAAACCCAAAGAACCUUUCAUGUUCCUAUAUUUCCACCUCAGAAGCUCUCGGUAUGCAAAAGCUUGUUGCUCAGCUCCUGUGAUCCGAACAGAUGAUUAGCGAUGAUUGUUACGGUGUUAGAGAUGUACAAAUGAACGCUUCCUGAACGCUUUGAGUAAUGCUUAAAUCAUUUGUCGAGAUUAUUUUCAAACUCCACGCUGGAGGGAUGUGUAUGGAAAUGGAAAACAGGGGGGGCUAUGAAUCCUAAGCGGUUCCUCUCUGCAGGCUCCUUCUCAACAUCACUUCAAUUUGAAGCAGUUGCUUGUGGUGUCAAAUUGGGAUUUGCUUUGCGCCACCAAUCACUCAUCUAUCAAAAUACCCCCUCCUCAUCAGUCACCCCCCCCCUGUGAUGAGACGUAGGGGAUAAAGAGAGAAGAAGUUAGGGUGAAGGAUGCAUGGCAGUGAGAAAGGGAACGAGAAGGAAAUGUGAAGGAGGGGGUGAAAGACGGGGUGCAGAGAUGAGUGUCGGGGGGGGGGGGCUCUGCUUGUUGCACUACGUGCACUCUGAGGAUGUGACAUGAUGUCAUGGUACUUCUUCAGCUGUUGUUGGGGGCGGGGGUUGAGUCCUUGUGUCAGUGGGGUCUUUUUGUUUUGUUGUACAUAAUGAAUCAAAUCAAGCUGAAUAUUCAAAUGCAAAGCAAAGACUAAAAAUGGUCUUUGACACUGCAUUCAAGUGACAGCUUGAACGAACAUUUAUCCAAAAUAAAAAGGUCCUUAUGGCUCUCUGCAGAUAUUGUUAUUCCACAUCCUCCUCGGGGGCGGGGGGGCUGCAUUCAUGUUUCAUCAGACUUGCCAUAAUGAUGCGUUCCUCACAGUCCAUUGAAGCUCCUAUACGUCAUCGUCAGCGUCAGAGGAGCCCCAGUCUGGACUGAUAAAGAUGUAUCGCAUCUAACCUGGCAGGUAUCAAAAGAAGACCAAAAAUACCCUCCACACUUAACCAGGAAAAGUAUGUGGGGGUGUCGGGAAUGAGUUAGCCGAGGACAGAACUCGACGAGGUGGAUUCGUCAGUAAAAGGAAGCGUUUCUUCUCUCCUGCUUUACGGUGUAACACCACUUUUAUUCUCUCUAUCGGGGGCUUUUUGCCCCCCAGCCUCAUACAUUUCUACUUCAGCCUGUGCUCAUAAUGCCAUGCUCUUUAUAGGGGGAAAAAACUCUGGCGGCUUACAGGAGAAGUGCCAUCUGUCCUUGGCAGACUUGAUCCUGGGCGCAGAUUAGGAUGAGCUGCUAUAAAAAUAAACAGGACAUAUGUGACGGAAACACACACCUCUCUGGAGAUUAUAAAUAAACCGGCUGACGGGAUUGUGUUGUGUCCCUUAUAGGAGUCAGUAUCCGAAUGCUGCUUGUGAUGAAUUGAACUUGUUUAACGUAUUGUGAUUGUGACAGAAGGUGAGCAGGCUGUAACAGACACUGUUUCUUUCUCCCUCAAUAACCCCCCAACACAAACAGUGGCCAAUGCAGUGCUCCUCCCUCAGAUCUUCAUCUGCAGCCCUCUGUUAUUCUUCUGGACGAUUCAUUUCCCCCGAUGCACUGAGCAGCCUCCACCCUCAGCGCAGCAGCAUGUGUGUGUCUGUGUGUCUGUGUGUGUGUGUGUGCAGCAAGCCGAGGCCAGCUGUGUGCUUCCCUUCGUCCCUCUUCGCCGUCUCUGUCUGACCCAUUUUCCUCAGCAGAGAUGUUGAUGAAGCAAAAGUGACGAUCCGGGGUGAGAGUGUCAUUAAGUGGGGAUGUUGGUGUUUAAAAUACAACAACACUUCUGUUGCAGUUAGUGGGAAUUGUAGAUUGUUCUCAUAUUUAGUGCAGCUUUGAACUCAUGCAGGACAUUGUCAAGUCAGUAUAAGGAAUUUUAAAGUCUUCUUGAUUAAUAUUACAGUACCUUCGACGAAUGUGCUUGUGGACAACAACUAUCUUUGCUGGAAUCCUCCCUGUCAAUAUUUUUGGAUUUUGGUCUUCAUUCUGAAGAUCCUCUAGCCCGAUAGUCCACCAGCAGGACAGACAAGGGUUGUCUUCGUCUGGUGCAAAGAAUGGGGAGGACACCUUGAACGCGGAUGGAGACCAUAUGCUCCAGGUGGCCUGGGACCAUUUUAUCUCCCAGGGGGAGCUGAGCAAUGUCGCUGGGGAAGAGGAUGCAUGGGUGGCUGUGAUCACCAUGUUGCCAUGGCAACCCUGUACCGGAUAAGUAAUGGAAAUGGACGGAUGGAUGGAUCCGUAGGACUACAAAGUUUAAGUGCCCAAGGAUAUUGCUCUGACUGAAAUAACAUUUGGACCGAAAAAAUAAAUACAUGGAAGCCAAAGCACGGAAUGGACAGAUUUGGUCACAAAAUAUUGAAAUUAGAGCAAUCAAUGCAGAGAAAAAUCACAUCACUGUUGGCAGUAGCCUACAAAAGAACACAUUUAUGAAACGUCAUAGAAAUGUCUUCGGCAUAGCAACAACAGUGCAAUGAUGCUCGGCAUUGCGAUAAAAGGUGUUCACAGAACAAAGUGGACUGUGGACAAGCUUUGUGUGGGAAGAAAUGAGCCGCUGUCCUCCUCGCACUCUAACGAGGAACCGGUGGUGAACUAAACAACCCUCUAAAUGAUUGAAUUUGUACAACUCAUUAAGCAGCGGUGAUUGAAUAUGUGGACGUGUACACGCCGAGGGCCCGCGCGGCGGUGACCUUACGCGCUCGGAACACCCGCGCAGGACAGCUACCUUUAACUCUCCUCAAUCUCCUGUGAUCGUCUCUCGGAGCAGCCAGAGGCAACCGGCGCUAGCUGCAGCUGUGAGAGAUAUUCCCAGGGUGGUGACCAAUCACGGCUUCAUUCACCAGAGCAGCAGAGUCCGACCCAACGAUCGACUCUUUUCUGCUGACAGCUUGAGCAAUGGAGAAAUAGAGGUCCAACCUCCAGGUUUCCACGUAAAAGCGAUACUUUGGGGGCUGUGGUGGUGAUUGCUCAAGUGAUCAUUGCAAAGGUUUUAAAAGGAUAAACUGUGUCCGGGCUUAUGUGUUAAGCAAUGCUUUUGGAGCUUAGAGCUGAGAAAACAAAAGCAUCCUCUUCAUGUUCAGGAAUUAAUUAUGGCAGCAGGCGAGGAGCCUCUGAGUGGAUUUUUACAAAACAAACGGCGACGUACUUAAAAAGGAAUAACAAAAGGUCCGUGCAUGGUCUCCGUACCAGCCCAUAUGUCUAAAUGUCUGCAUGUGUUCGUGCAUUGUGACUGCCAAUUAAAUCAAACAACUCUAUCUAUGCAUGCAGACGUAACCUCUGAGCCACGGAUAUCCAUUCAUGUACUAAUUAAUUGUUGCUUCCAAGUGUAAGGAGUCACAUCUUCUCGUUUCAUGAUGGAAACAAUGACAACUGAGGGAAAACCCCCGCAGGCGUUAAAGCUACUAAAUGAAAGGAGACGUUCCAAAGUAAUUUUUAUUAUUCAGGCUUUCAGUACGGAAGGUUGUCUUCCUAUAUGUUCUUUUCUCAAACAUUCCGUCAAAAACAGCUUACUUGUGUUGCAAAUGCAGUGAUGAAAGACUGCAAGAAAAGGCACUUCGGGGAGAGUGAAGGUUUUCCAGGCCAAUUGUGGUAGCUCCUCAUGCAUAGUGAAUCAGCAGCCACGGCGCUGUGUCCGUGGACUUGUAACAGGCGGAAACGCUCUCCUGUGGGCAGCGGUGAGGAAACGAGAUGUGUCUAUAAUGAAAACACUUUGUACCCAGCGUUUCUUUCAAUGGCAGAAAUCGCAGUACUUUUGUGGGUGUACCUCUGCGAUGAGGUGUGCAUGUCAGAGGCAGAGUGCACUGAUGUUACACUGGAAGAAAGUACGCCUGUUAACGAAUAUUUGGAGCAAGAUCUCAAAGUGGACUCACUGACAAAGUGACGCCUUUUAUGUUUGUGCUGCGUGACGUGUUGUGUGAUGUAUUAUCUUACAUAAUUCCCCCCAUUCCCGUUCUGAAAAACCAUAAAAAAUGAAUGAACCCCUUAGAAAUGCUUGCUCUCCAGACAAUAAAUUCUAUUUUUAAUCAUUUUGACGCUUUCAGAAAGAAAGAUUCACAGGGCCCCCUGCAGCUGAACUGCAAAAGAUAGAAGAUCGGUUCCUGGGACAAUAGAUAGUAAAGGUGAAGUGCAAUUACAGGAAAAUAUCAGCGAGAAGUACUGCUGCUCACACAGUGGGGCAAAAACAUGGCCGGCCAUGUCCAUCAACUGGGACUUUUAGGAGUUUUAAAAGUUUUUGUAUAUAGCCACGUCCAUUGCGUUGAAAUGAAUUGAAACAGUAUCUGAUUUGCAGACUGAGCUCGGUGGAUAAUCGGCACAUUCCCCGCCAAAAUAAAUUGCUUUAUUAUCAUGCAGUUUGAUGUCAUUUAUUUUUCUUUUGUCUCCUCUUAUCUCAGCAGUGAUGAAGGAAGUAAGCUCUCAGUAAACAAAAUGCAGAACGUUUUCCCUGCAGCUGUUUUUCCUUUGCAGAGAAUUGUGAGCAACCUGCAUCGGACGAAGGAAGCAAAUCUCUCCUGCAGACGGUUUAGGCUGUACAAAAAACCUUAUUGUCAUCGGGGGUCAAAGUUCUCUCGGUUGCAUUAUUCUCAUUGAGCUGAAACUUAUUUAGCUGCACCUCUAUGCUCAUUUUUUGGCCCACUUUCCUCCAUUUUGUGGAUAUAUUUGCCGAAGUGAAAACUGGGCCAGUAUCCCAUGAGCACCCACAUGUAGACAGGAAUAAGAUUUAUUUCCCAGAAUUCCCCACAAGGGAACACUGUCCCCUGCCCUGUCUGGGCAGAAGUGAUGAAACAUGAAGGGAAGAGGAGGCGAGAGGUGAAGAGCCAGAUGGAGAGGCGAGGCAACAGAUAUUUGGAUCUACAGCGCACCCAGUGGAAUAAAAGACAACUAAAAAAAACGAAAUGCAGUGAAAAAGAGAAAGGGUGCAAGAGAGGGUGCGGAAGGUCCACAAGUUAGUUUAGGUGUUCAGAUGAGCUCUUCUUUCCAGCCGUUUUAACCUUGAACUCAGCCGGCAACUGAAGAGUUAACAGUGAAGAAAGGAAGGCUUUAUUAACUUCACCCGGAGGUUGAUAAUAUCCACUCAUAUGGUGAUGAUACACAUACAUGAUCACAUGUUUAAAGCUUAAAGAAAAUGUAUUCAAUAAAACAUAUCGUUUCUUUCUGAGCCACAGGUUUCAAACCACUGUGCUUCGUCAUACUUAUAUGUCUGAGUUCUUCUUCCUUUUGAGUUUAUAAAAUAUGUAACUUUUUAUUCAAUUUGUGGCACACUACGUCUCCUCCAUGUAAUCGACCGAACGGCACACAAAAGCAGUUAGAUGCAUCUUACUUCAAAUAACAAACAUUCCUAUAAAUAUAUAAAAAUGUACCAAAACAGUGAUCAGUCAAUUUACAAAAAUAUGUUAUAAAGUUCAAGUGUAAUGAUAUGAAGUUGAUUACAUAACUAUUACGGUACAUGAUAUAUAUAGUCAUAGAGGAAAUAUAUUCAUAUUGUCUGAAAUGUACAUAGUAGUACUUAUAAAAAUGUUCUUGGAUGAAGUAUAUUUCAGUAACUCUUUGUGUCUCUCUUGCAAUGGCAGGUAUUGUAAUCUCGUCCCGAAUGAAAUGUCAACAUAUCCAUAACAAUAACCCAGCAAGUCGCCAUCACCUACUGCAAACACAGCACGCCCCCGCGUGACGUCCAGUUGACACAACUCAUUGACGGCUCCUCAAAAUAAUGUGACAGCGGCUCCUGGCUCCUCUGUUUGCUCUCUGAUCAGCCUCAUUCAACAACCAGCGCCAUGCAACAGAUGGUCGGCGCCUGUUUGUGUACAUACGGCACAUAUUUAGGUCAGGUACGCGCCGCGGCCGCUGGUUGCCAUGGGAACUGGGCAUCAAACAUGACAGCGAUAUCUCGGUGAGAAGUUUCCUCCUCUCACACCUCUCGUUCCCCCUCAGCUUGCUACCCGUACGGAUUGUGUGGGAACAUUCACCUGGGGGGGGGGGUUAUUGUCGUCGAAACGGGCUGAGCGUGCACGGCUUCGCUCUGCUGGUGAUGGAGACGAAGCUUCGCUUUGGUCAAUAAUCCAACACACAUCUGCUGCAGCCGGAAGCACAUCGGCGUUGCCGUUGCUGCCUUUGGCCUGAAUGUACAGUACAAAAUCCCUACUCCCCCCACUUUGACCUGGAUUAUCAUCUCCACCUCACACUUUGCCGCCUGUCUCGGACCCCUUUGCGAAUGCCUGUGCGUGACCUUGGGUGACUGAGUGAACACAAAGGGAUUCUCCCUGUCUCUGCCUGUCUCCUUUCAUCCCACACACACACACACACACACACAAACAUGCGCUGUGCAUGGUAAGCGCACGUGAUUGGAUUCAGUGAGCUGCUGAUGCAUGUUGAAUGCUGAUGAGAUUCUCUGGGUGGUUUCUGAAAAAAAAAAAAAAGAAAAAAAGAGGAGAAGCGAUAAAAAGCUUCCUCUGUGCCGGCAGGAAGGAGAGAAGAGAGAGAGAGGAGGAGAGAAAACAGGCCCAGCAGAAUAUUCAUCAACGUCAGAACCCUCAUUUCCAGGUCACACCGCGCACGUCCAAUCACGCAUGACGCGCGCAGGUGGAAACACCUCCACGCGCCCUCACCGUUACUCUGCGGGAUGCGCCAAUGCCUUUACUCAUCACAUGAUGCCGCAGUGGAAUUGUACACAGACCUGCUUUGUCCCACUUUUUCUCUUUUAAUGUCUGUUCAGGCUAAUGAGGUGAAACAUUAGCUUGAGGGACCACCGGGGAAGCUUUCGGGGUCAACAGCACGCAGAGUCCUUUUUGGUGUGAGAUCGCUGCAGAUUGCGUAUUCAUGCACAGGAUGAUCAGGGGCAUCGGUCGCCAAGCCGGGGUUUGCUUUUGCUCCUCGCUUCUCUUAUUGUCAACAAUGCAAGAAAAAUAAUAAAAUAAACGUCCAAGUAUUUCCUGUGUUUUGUAAAGCCUGAUAUUGCUUAUUGUUCUGUGCCAUAGAUUUAAAUUGCUGUCCUAAACUAUUAAAAACACAUCAGUGAGUCACAUCAUUGCCCCAGGUGAUAACUUCCAUUAUAACAGUGAACAAGGCAACUGUUUAUAGACAGUCCCACAGGUCUGCUGCUGCUGCUAUAAAUGCUUUGACUCUGAAUGCGCAUCAAUCCACUGCGGCAAAUAGUCCCCAGGAAAAUAGACUCUUUCCUCCUGUUUGGGAGACAUGUUUUAAAAACUACAGUGGAACAGGAACAUCGUUUUCAUUUAACAGACACUCGUGAUCUGAUCUUGGCUUGUGUUGAAAUAAGGAUGUUCGGCGAGUUUCCACUGACCUAAAUUCAAACAAGUCAACGCAGACCAUCUUUUUUUUUGCCACACAGGACACGACCAGCGGCCUCGUGGGGGAUCUCUUGACUGUCAAUUAGAACCCCCACCCACUCUCUCUCUUAAGUGUUAGCUAUCCCUCAACUGGUUGGACAUUUAAUGGGACAAAGGCUUAGUAAAUCGUCCCCCGGAGACCCCUAAAGAAAAUGUGUUAUUGUUAAAAGACUCACAAGGUCAACUUGCAGCGAAAAGAAUUUCCCCUCAGGUUAAUUUAGACUGCGGUCCGAGCAGAACAUAAUGCCCUGUUGUGAAUGAGACUAUUGAAAUAUAGCAACGGCGCGGUGUGACGGACUUGAGAGUGUGUUUGGUCAUCCAUUCCGCUGUGUUAUUUGACGACGCCUGCUGCAGUGUUUGGUCCGUCUGGAAGUUGUUCCCUCUGGGUGCUGCUGCUGAAAUCCACCUGACAGUUAGAGUCGAGCACGACGCCGUCUGUCCGCACUUCCAACAACAUGACUCGACGCUCGCAUUCAAUCUCCGGCACACUCAGACAAGUGACAUGGCAGCGUGCUGUGUUUUGCCUGCGUGUGGAUUCAGAUUUCUUUGAGUGACUCGGUGUUGUUUCUUGAAAAGGAUGUGCUGAGCCAAAGACAUCUGUGUGUCCAGAGUAUGCAAAGGUGGCACGUUUUGAUAGAUGAAUAUCUCAAAUAUUUUCAUUCCUGAACAGAUAUUCCUUCACUUGAUGUAUUACACUUAUUUGGUGUAAUAAAGAUUUGUCAAUGUUGAUUCAUUUUCUGUUGGCUGAGAUUUAUUCGUUUCACAUUCUCCUCAGCUCCCUAAGUAUUAAAUUAAACCAUAAUUGACUCAAUAAUGAUUCUGUUGGACAGAUGAGCCUGUUAUAAAUCUUCAUUUAGAUGAAGUUGAUCUCCAUCUCACAUCUGAGGAGCAUCUUCCCAGAUUACCUGUAGGUUAAAAUAUUUUUCCAAAUAUGAAUGAAUAUGAAGCAGUGAGUCAUUGAUGACAUCAUGUCAUCAUUGAUGACUCACUGCUUAGAUGUCAUUGCAUCUGCAUUCAUAAUUGCACAAACAUUAUACCAUAUUAUACCUAAAGAGGCCGGAGGAAUUAGGUGUACUUUGCCAACGAGGUGGUUGACUCUUGAAAAGCGAGCGGCGUUAUGACAGAAGUUCUAUUAAAAUGUUCAAGUACCUGCUCGCUCUGCAGCGGCAUGCACACACCAUAAACAACAUGUGUACGUCACGGACAUUUAACAACACUAAAUACACACAGCCUUCAACUGCAAACAAAGAGCUUCACAUUAAUGGUGUCACCUCAGGAAACAUUUCUGUUUAUUUGGCCCAGCUGACAGUUUUUGUCCACCAGACCACAAUAAUACACCAGAUAAAAGACAGCGAUGUGCUUAUAGCGCCAUCUUGUGUGGCUUAAAGGUAUUAAAGUUUAAAGGUUAUUAACGGUUUCUUUACCGAAGCUUUAAAAAAACACAUUUAAAAAGUAGCUUUGGCUGUCAAAAAUGAAACUAGAAAAUAUAAGACAUUUUCUUACACGUGUUCUGACACAUUUCUAUGUUCCUUUGCCGUUUAGCAACCACAUGUCUUUUUUCCGACACCAAAGAAUGUUCUUUUCUCACCUCUUCUGACAUCAACGGACAAAUAAUCUGCCACACAAACGCACAUGCGAUCUUAUCUUUACUGUUAGAAGCUCGUGUUAACCGUUGAAGGACUGUGAAGUUUGUUCACAUGAUGGUCCACCAACAACAUGUUCACUUCCUUUAAUACAUGUGAAUGUUGAUUAUAAGAAUCAACUUUGGGCAUAUGAGCUGCCCAUUUAAUGCAACAUUUAACUAUUUAAACUUGAGAUCAGGCUAAACCUCUAAACUGAGAUCACAAAGGCCAUCUGAUGUUUAAGAUUGAUAUCAAGACAGUUUAAUAGUUAGCUUUCAUCUCCAAGAUGCGCACCAGCAGUGAUAUUUACCUGAUGCUUGGGGAGAAUAUUGUUCUCAAUGUUCUCUUAUUUGUUAUUUCAUUUUAAAUGAUAUACUAUUUUCAGUGAAAGAGGGGUUUGGAAAGGUUAACUCAGAGAUUUUUUUAAUGUGUUCAUUUCAAGAAAAUAAGAAGGAAGCAAUACGUCAUGUUCCUUGUAGUUCCUUUAUUGAGGAAACUGAUUUUUUGCAUUUCAACAUAAUGUAAAGUCCCCGACCACGCGGCAACAUCCCUGGAACAGAUUGCAGAAUCGAAACUUUUGAAUUACUAGGACAGAAAACCAUAUCACCACAAACCCAGCAAGUUAUGGUUCAUUUUCCAGGUCAAAUCUAGUGUUGUAUUGAGGAAGAGUUUUCAGGUAUUUGUAUUUACGUUUCAAACUACUCAACGAUAUUCCAGAGAGAAGACUCUCAUUCAACAUUUGACUAUCUGUUGAGGCCCAAAAUACUAAUAUUAAGUAUUAAGAUUUCACUUGUACUUGCGUGGAGUACUUUGACAUCUCUGUAUACUUUUAAUAAAGUAAAUGAUCACUUAACGGAACGGAAUGAGUCAAAAGUCUAAGAAUAACUGUAGUGUCUUUAGAGUUUGUCAAAACCAUGAUAAUACUCUCAAGAACUGCUGCUUCCGGAUCUACACUCACGGGGCGCCAAUAAUCCAAUCGUUUUGGUACGACGUCAUCAUUAUAAUCUAAUUUUCAGGUGAUAAUUUGAUUUAAAGUUAUUGUGUCCUUAUCAUGCAGCUAUUUCCUGUGUCAUGGUGACAUCCUCUUUUUUUCUUUAGUUUGAUUUUAGUGGUUUUUGCUCUUCUUAUCUUUACAAAUAUAAAGCCAGAACCUGAACAACCAAAGUCCCAUGAAAUAUUUUGACCUUUCUGAAUCUCUCCAGAAGCCCAAACGCGUCUUCUUUUAUUCUAGUGUCUCCCAUAAACCCUCAGCGUGUGGCCAGGGGCCAGGGGCCCCCCGCCGGGGCCUUUUUUUUAAUUUUUUUUACGAGGCUUCCUGGGGA